UGUUCCUACGGGGGGCAGCAGUGGGGAAUAUUGCACAAUGGGGGAAACCCUGAUGCAGCGACGCCGCGUGAGUGAAGAAGUAUUUCGGUAUGUAAAGCUCUAUCAGCAGGGAAGAAAAUGACGGUACCUGACUAAGAAGCCCCGGCUAACUACGUGCCAGCAGCCGCGGUAAUACGUAGGGGGCAAGCGUUAUCCGGAUUUAUUGGGUUUAAAGGGUGCGUAGGCGGUUUGAUAAGUUAGAGGUGAAAUGUCGGGGCUCAACCCCGAAACUGCCUCUAAUACUGUUGGACUAGAG
rnacentral:rRNA from 1 species